GGAGAGUUGUCCGAGCGGCCGAAGGAACUGGUCUUGAAAACCAGCAAGCAGCAAUGCUUCGUGGGUUCGAAUCCCACACUCUCCGCCA
rnacentral:tRNA from 2 species